AAUAAGAACAAACUUCUCACUUCAAAAUACUCGAUGGACCAAUCGGAAUGAAGAAACAAUUUUUAUGGUGUGAAGUGAAAAUAGAAAUGUCUAGUAACAGAAGAAAAAAUACCAUAUAUACAUCGUAUUAUCGAUGACCCAAGUGAAGAAGAAAUGGUGAAAAAUGGCGACUAGGAUGUGGCGUCCUCAACGUGAAGAACGAUAUCCUGAAGACUAGAUUCUCGCUGCCCAUGGACUGAGAUCGCGUGCUCUACUACGUAAUCUAAGGGAAGAUGAUUCGAUAGAUUGUAUGUGAGGAAUUCUCCCCGAUUGUCAGCCGUAUAAAAGAACCGGUUUACCUAACUUUGGACACCACCUGUCGACAGUUUACGUCUUACGUCUCGCGUCUCGCGGUUGCAUCUCUCUCGUCGUUGAUUGUUUCGCGCAUUUCGUCGAAAAAGUCAAAGUGACAUAUCGGAAUGCACGUGUCACGUGCGGUAAUUUAGACAACGUUUCGUCAAUCGAAUUGCAUGGAAAACCUGUUGGUGAGAUCGGUCGCGCGCAAUUUUUAAUCUCGCAAUCGAUGUCUAUCAUGGUGUCUGUUAUAGUGUUUACGCGUCGUGAGUGUGAUAAAUACCGGACAAGGUCAUCGCGAGUGCAUACGAGUGUCGCGUUCGCGAGUGUUUGCAAGUGUUCAUUCACUUUUGAUAGUGAAUGACUCAACGCAAUGCGAGGAACGAGCAGUCUGGCAAUCAACGAAGUAUGUGGACCUCGAGGAUUGAGAAUUCCAGGAAGAGUGCUGCGAGAAAGUGAGAAUCAAGAG